rnacentral:rRNA from 1 species
AACGCGAAGAACCUUACCUGGGUUUGACAUGCACCAGAUUGCCUCAGAGAUGGGGUUUCCCUUUGUGGUUGGUGUACAGGUGGUGCAUGGCUGUCGUCAGCUCGUGUCGUGAGAUGUUGGGUUAAGUCCCGUAACGAGCGCAACCCUUGUCCUGUGUUGCCAGCAAUGCGGUUGGGGACUCGCGGGAGACUGCCGGGGUCAACUCGGAGGAAGGCGGGGACGACGUCAAGUCAUCAUGCCCCUUAUGUCCAGGGCUUCACACAUGCUACAAUGGCCAGUACAGAGGGCUGCGAGACCGUGAGGUGGAGCGAAUCCCUUAAAGCUGGUCUCAGUUCGGAUCGGGGUCUGCAACUCGACCCCGUGAAGUCGGAGUCGCUAGUAAUCGCAGAUCAGCAACGCUGCGGUGAAUACGUUCCCGGGUCUUGUACACACCG